AUUGAACGCUGGCGGCAGGCCUAACACAUGCAGGUCGAACGGUAACAGGAAACAGCUUGCUGUUUCGCUGACGAGUGGCGGACGGGUGAGUAAUGUCUGGGAAACUGCCCGGUGGAGGGGGAUAACUACUGGAAACGGUAGCUAAUACCGCAUAACGUCGCAAGACCAAAGAGGGGGACCUUCGGGCCUCUUGCCAUCGGAUGUGCCCAGAUGGGAUUAGCUAGUAGGUGGGGUAACGGCUCACCUAGGCGACGAUCCCUAGCUGGUCUGAGAGGAUGACCAGCCACACUGGAACUGAGACACGGUCCAGACUCCUACGGGAGGCAGCAGUGGGGAAUAUUGCACAAUGGGCGCAAGCCUGAUGCAGCCAUGCCGCGUGUAUGAAGAAGGCCUUCGGGUUGUAAAGUACUUUCAGCGGGGAGGAAGGGAGUAAAGUCAAUACCUUUGCUCAUUGACGUUACCCGCAGAAGGAGCACCGGCUAACUCCGUGCCAGCCGCCGCAGUAA
rnacentral:rRNA from 1 species